UAUUAAGGAACAAAGACUAAAAUCGUCACGUCCUGUGGCAACAUCUUCAUGACCUACAUCUUUUAGG
rnacentral:sRNA from 1 species